rnacentral:rRNA from 1 species
AUUGAACGCUGGCGGCAGGCCUAACACAUGCAAGUCGAACGGUAACAGGAAGCAGCUUGCUGCUUCGCUGACGAGUGGCGGACGGGUGAGUAAUGUCUGGGAAGCUGCCUGAUGGAGGGGGAUAACUACUGGAAACGGUAGCUAAUACCGCAUAAUGUCGCAAGACCAAGAGGGGGACCUUCGGGCCUCUUGCCAUCGGAUGUGCCCAGAUGGGAUUAGCUUGUUGGUGGGGUAACGGCUCACCAAGGCGACGAUCCCUAGCUGGUCUGAGAGGAUGACCAGCCACACUGGAACUGAGACACGGUCCAGACUCCUACGGGAGGCAGCAGUGGGGAAUAUUGCACAAUGGGCGCAAGCCUGAUGCAGCCAUGCCGCGUGUAUGAAGAAGGCCUUCGGGUUGUAAAGUACUUUCAGCGGGGAGGAAGGGAGUAAAGUUAAUACCUUUGCUCAUUGACGUUACCCGCAGAAGAAGCACCGGCUAACUCCGUG